GACUGCCAUGAUUUUUUUAUGGCCGCGGUAUUUUAACCGUGCAAAGGUAGCAUAAUCAUUUGUCUUUUAAUUGGAGGCUAGAAUGAACGGUUGGACGAGAUAUAUACUUUCUUUAUUUUAAAGAAAUGAAUUUAAUUUUUGAGUUAAAAAGCUUAAAUUUUAUUAUAGGACGAGAAGACCCUAUAGAACUUUAUUUAUUUAUUUUAAUUAAUUAAUUUGGAUUAUGGUUUAAUUAUUUAAUGUAUUAAAUUUUGUUGGGGUGACAGGAAAAUAUUAAUAACUUUUCUUUAUUUUUUUCAUAAAUUAAUGUAUUUUUGAUCCAAUAUUUUUGAUUAUAAGAUUAAGUUACUUUAGGGAUAACAGGAAAUUUUUUUUUAAACAUC
rnacentral:rRNA from 1 species